CCUCAUUUCGAAUUCAACUCUGUCUCUCACUCUCUCUCGCCGUCCGUCUGUGAAUCGUCCCCUCCCCUCCACCACCCCGACAUCAGGACGGUCCUGGCGACCACCACGACAGCCCAGCAACUUCAACGGCAUCCCAGACUUACAGAACCCAGUCACCCCACCGCACCACCCAUCUUCUCGAUUUGUCACCUCUCUCAAUCAACCUUUGUGUCAAUUUUAUGUGAUUAGUGCCAGCAUUUUUUAAGGAUCUGAAUCUGGUACUCAGUCUCCGUCUCACAGAUUCAAUGAGGAUUGUUGUUGGAACUUGGGCGUUGGAUGUGGUUUUGAAUGUUAAUUUGAAAUUUAUUGCGGAUGUCAUGUUUAUGUUGUUUUGGAUUAUUUGAUUCUUGGAAUUUGGAUGCCUUGGACUUUCGAAUAUUUUGUAUGUUGAUUUGAUUUUUAGAUGUUGGACAAUGUAAUAUUGUUAUUUUGGAUGUAUUGUUAAUUUAUGAACUUGGAUGUUGGACUUUGUAUUUAGAUUGGAUGUGAAUAA